GCUCUCUGCAGGUAGUGCCUUUAUUCAACCACCUGGCAAAUAUUUAUUGAGCACUUACUAUGGACCCAGGAGGGGUGAAUAAAGUACAUAGCCAUCAUGGAGCUCACAUUUUAGGGGGUGAAACAAAUACACAGGAGGAACAAACUCUUCAGAGCAGACACGUGUUCUGGGGUUACCAGAAAGAACCUCAGGUGGGGACUCUCCGGGAGCUGAGAUGUCCCUGGUGCAAGCACAUAGAGUGACACCAGCUUCCUUGAGGGGCUCUGAUGGCUGUGUGCAUUGGAGCACAGAGGAGAGGAGAUGAAGCCACUCCUGCCCUCCCAGGGCCCAGAGGAUGGUGGUCAUUUCUCAGCAGAGAGUCACUGGAGCCCAGCGUGGCUUCCUCCAAGAAAUAAAUGGCACCAUUGCAACUUGAACUCCUAUUGGUUCCCUUCUCUGAAGCAGAGCUGGCUUCUGUCAUAAGGGCAUGUUCUGACCUUUGCAAACUGUCACUGAAGAUAGUAAUGUGUGUCACCCUUUGCUACCAGAGGACUAUUUCUCUCUUAUCAGGGAAAUCCUGUGAGUCAUGUACCGAGGGCUAUGGAGACCUGAUUGGCGUGGGGCGCACUUGCACUGGUGACCACAGCACCCUCUUCACACUUUCUUAAAAGCAUAUAUCACGAUGUUGUGAACCACUCCUGCUGAAUUCCUCCUCUUUGGCUUCUGAAAGCUCUAAAGAGAGGAAGUCUGCCUUCUUCAUCUGGUUCCCAGGAUUUACUCCAGAGCCAGGUAAACACUGGCUCUGGAGCCCCACCCUUGGUGGCUUUCCUUCUUCCUCUGCCUGCUGGUGAGGACAUCAAGGAGGAACAUCAAGAAGGAGAAGGACAGAGAGGAGAAAGACAAGAAAACCACCCAACAUCCACAUCACCAGGCUGCCACUGCCACGGGGGUGACCAUGGCAGAGCCCUCUGGAGGUGCGCAGCAAUAGCCGCAUACUAUGGGCAGUCCUGAUGUCAAUAAUCCUGGAAAAAGGGACAUUCUUUCCCAGUAAAGGUCAGUGGGCUACCUUCCACAGGUACUCCCCAACUUGCCCUCCCUUUCCUCCUCUGUGAAGGACUGGGGAAAACUUUAUCACUCAGAUUAGGGUAAAAGCUGAUACUUACUGAAUCCUUUCCUUUAUUAACCUUCUAAUCCCCACGACAUUCCCCCUUCACAAACAAGGAAACUGGGGCAAAGUCCACCCAGCCGACAAAUCUAAUGUGGCUUUUUCCAUCACUGCCCUUUGCUAGGGCACAGGCCUGGCCCCACACACUGAGGGGGUUGGUUCUCAUGCUACUGUCUGGUGGGUCCCACACCCCCAUCCUCUCCCUGGACAGCUAGAACCAGCCUGCUCACUGUGCCCCUCAUGCUUGCCUCUCAAAGCCUUGCUCUUUCCACCAGCCACAUGGUUUCAACCACCUGGGGAUAUGGACAGGAGGUUGAAGCCAUGUCCUUUAGGAAAGGACUCAGGCUCCUUCACUCUAGAGAGCCACUGUGCUACGUGGCCUCUUGACAGUGAUGCUAUCAUCUAGGAAAACCCUAGGCCCACAUUAAUCACAGGAUUCCCUGCAGACAUUCCCUGACCAGAGCCAGUGUUGGGGCUGGACCAACCCCGUGGUUCUUAUUUUGGUUGCAGGAUGCACUUCAGCAAAUCUAUCAGGAAACUUUGAGGAACAGGAUUUAUUUCUUAUGAGUCUUGCAGGGAACAUGACACACUGAGGGCCACACACACAGCAUGGUGACAGGUAAAGAGAGGAGGCACCUGGAGUUCUGCCUUUAUUGAGGACAGAGGGUAGUGUGUCUAGGGUUUCUUGAAUUCACUCCUUCCUGGCUCAUUUAAGGCAUGAAAAUGGAAACUGAGGUACAGGGAGAAGCAGGGUCACUCAAACUGUCAUUAUGUAGCUUAUCCAGGACUUUCUGAAAGAGAGAACUUCAUAGUUUGGGGUGGCAUAAGAUUCCUUAUAUGGCUGUUUUACCAAUAAAUGUGUCUUAUAGCUGGUAAUGUGUUUGUUGGAGAUGGAUGUAUUUGCAGCCGAUGUCUUAGCAAUCAAAGGCUGAAUGUCAGGCACAUAUGUUACAAUCGAAAAGCUUAAUGUCACACUAUAGGUAU